rnacentral:rRNA from 1 species
AACGAACGCUGGCGGCAUGCCUAACACAUGCCAGUCGAACGAGACCUUCGGGUCUAGUGGCGCACGGGUGCGUAACGCGUGGGAACCUGCCCUUAGGUUCGGAAUAACUCCCCGAAAGGGGUGCUAAUACCGGACAAUGUCUUCGGACCAAAGAUUUAUCGCCUUUGGAUGGGCCCGCGUUGGAUUAGCUAGUUGGUAGGGUAAAAGCCUACCAAGGCGACGAUCCAUAGCUGGUCUGAGAGGAUGAUCAGCCACACUGGGACUGAGACACGGCCCAGACUCCUACGGGAGGCAGCAGUGGGGAAUAUUGGACAAUGGGCGAAAGCCUGAUCCAGCAAUGCCGCGUGAGUGAUGAAGGCCUUAGGGUUGUAAAGCUCUUUUACCCGGGAUGAUAAUGACAGUACCGGGAGAAUAAGCGCCGGCUAACUCCGUG